GAUGAACGCUGGCGGCGUGCCUAAUACAUGCCAGUCGAGCGAACGGACGAGAAGCUUGCUUCUCUGAUGUUAGCGGCGGACGGGUGAGUAACACGUGGAUAACCUACCUAUAAGACUGGGAUAACUUCGGGAAACCGGAGCUAAUACCGGAUGAUAUUUUGAACCGCAUGGUUCAAAAGUGAAAGACGGUCUUGCUGUCACUUAUAGAUGGAUCCGCGCUGCAUUAGCUAGUUGGUAAGGUAACGGCUUACCAAGGCAACGAUGCAUAGCCGACCUGAGAGGGUGAUUCGCCACCACUGAACUGAAACACGGGCCCGACUCCCAAGGGAGGCAGCAGGAGGGAAUCUUCCGCAAUGGGCGAAAGCCUGACGGAGCAACGCCGCGUGAGUGAUGAAGGUCUUCGGAUCGUAAAACUCUGUUAUUAGGGAAGAACAUAUGUGUAAGUAACUGUGCACAUCUUGACGGUACCUAAUCAGAAAGCCACGGCUAACUACGUG
rnacentral:rRNA from 1 species